GGCCUACGGGGGGCAGCAGUAGGGAAUCUUCCACAAUGGACGAAAGUCUGAUGGAGCAACGCCGCGUGAGUGAAGAAGGGUUUCGGCUCGUAAAGCUCUGUUGGUAGUGAAGAAAGAUAGAGGUAGGAACUGGCCUUUAUUUGACGGUAAUUACUUAGAAAGUCACGGCUAACUACGUUCCAGCAGCCGCGGGAAUACGUAGGUGGCAAGCGUUGUCCGGAUUUAUUGGGCGGAAAGCGAGUGCAGGCGGUU
rnacentral:rRNA from 1 species